AUUGAACGCUGGCGGCAGGCCUAACACAUGCAAGUCGAACGAGUGGCGGACGGGUGAGUAAUGUCUGGGAAACUGCCCGAUGGAGAGGGAUAACUACGGGAAACGGUAGCUAAUCACGCAUUACAUGGGCUGUGCCAAGAGGGGAUUAGCUAGUAGGGGGGGUAACGGCUAAACUGGGCGACGAGCCCUAGCUGGUGUGAGAGGAUGACCAGCCACACUGGAACUGAGACACGGUCCAGACUCCUACGGGAGGCAGCAGUGGGGAAUAUUGCACAAUGGGCGCAAGCCUGAUGCAGCCAUGCCGCGUGUAUGAAGAAGGCCUUCGGGUUGUAAAGUACUUUCAGCGAGGAGGCGUUACUCGCAGAAGAAGCACCGGCUAACUCCGUGCCAGCAGCCGCGGUAAUUC
rnacentral:rRNA from 1 species